rnacentral:tRNA from 1 species
UAAAGCGAAUUUGCUCACUUACACUGAGACUUACCUAUCUAGGCGUUUUAU